rnacentral:rRNA from 1 species
UUGUCCGGAAUUAUUGGGCGUAAAGAGCUCGUAGGCGGUUUGUCGCGUCUGCUGUGAAAACCUAAGGCUCAACCUUGGGCUUGCAGUGGGUACGGGCAGACUAGAGUGCGGUAGGGGUGACUGGAAUUCCUGGUGUAGCGGUGGAAUGCGCAGAUAUCAGGAGGAACACCGAUGGCGAGGGCAGGUCACUGGGCCGCAACUGACGCUGAGGAGCGAAAGCAUGGGGAGCGAACAGG